UGCAGGCUGCAACCCGCCUGCAUGAAGUUGGAAUCGCUAGUAAUCGCGGAUCAGCAUGCCGCGGUGAAUACGUUCCCGGGCCUUGUACACACCGCCCGUCACACCAUGAGAGUCGGGAACACCCGAAGUCCGUAGCCUGACCGCAAGGGGGGCGCGGCCGAAGGUGGGUUCGAUAAUUGGGGUGAAGUCGUAACAAGGUAGC
rnacentral:rRNA from 1 species